GUGGCGUCCUGUGCUCGCUGAGACGGCACCUCGAGAACUAUGGUGGAAGGAGAUAAUCGCAGCACCAAUCUGCUGGCUGGAGAGACUGCAAGUCUGGAAGAGCAGCUGCAAAGAUGGGGAGAAGUGAUGCUGAUGGCAGAUAAAGUCCUCCGAUGGGAAAGAGCCUGGUUUCCACCUGCCAUCAUGGGUGUGGUUUCUUUGGUGUUUCUGACUAUCUACUAUCUACAUCCAUCUGUUCUAUCUGGUGUUUCCUGUUUUGUUAUGUUUUUGUGCUUGGCUGGCUACCUUGUUCCCAUUCUAGCACCUAGAAUUUUUGGCUCCAAUAAAUGGACCACUGAGCAACAGCAAAGAUUCCAUGAAAUUUGCAGCAAUCUAGUAAAAACACGACGCAGAGCUGUGGGCUGGUGGAAACGCCUCUUUACACUAAAGGAAGAAAAGCCUAAAAUGUACUUCAUGACCAUGAUCGUUUCUCUUGCUGCGGUUGCUUGGGUCGGACAGCAGGUCCACAACCUCCUUCUCACCUACCUGAUAGUGACUUUCUUACUUUUGCUUCCUGGACUGAACCAACAUGGAAUCAUUUCGAAAUACGUUGGAAUGGCCAAAAGAGAGAUAAACAAGCUUCUGAAACAAAAAGAAAAGAAAAAUGAAUAAAGCAUUUGCUUUAUUCAGUGUGAUUAAUGGAGUGUACAUUGUCCGUGGGAACAG